rnacentral:RNase_P_RNA from 1 species
CAUGAGAGCUGUGCCGCCGCGUGGGGGAUUCCCCAUGAGGAAAGUCCGGGCUUCGCAGGGCAGGAUAACGGGUAACGCCCGCCGGGGGAAACCUCAGGACAAGUGCAACAGAGAGAUACCGCCGCCGGAGCUUUCCGGCGGUAAGGGUGGAAAAGCGGAGAUAAGCGCCCGCUGUCGGCCGGGUAACCGGCCGUUCAUGUAAACUCUAUCCGAAGCAACACCCGACCGGAUGGCGGCGCGGACAGUCCGCGCCGCGGCGUCUGCCCGGCGCAUAUCCGAGGAUGGUGGCAGGAGGCGCGCGGCGACGCGCGUCCCAGAUAGAUGGCGGCUCAUUCCCGCGCUUCGCGGGAGGGACAGAACCCGGCUUACAGGCUCUCUAAACCU